rnacentral:rRNA from 1 species
CGAGUGGCGAACGGGUGAGUAAUAUAUCGGAACGUGCCCAGUAGUGGGGGAUAGCCCGGCGAAAGCCGGAUUAAUACCGCAUACGACCUACGGGUGAAAGCGGGGGAUCGCAAGACCUCGCGCUAUUGGAGCGGCCGAUAUCAGAUUAGGUAGUUGGUGGGGUAAAAGCCUACCAAGCCAACGAUCUGUAGCUGGUCUGAGAGGACGACCAGCCACACUGGGACUGAGACACGGCCCAG